rnacentral:tRNA from 1 species
CGGGAUGUGGCGCAGCCCGGUUAGCGCACUUCGUUAGGGACGAAGGGGCCGCUGGUUCGAAUCCAGUCAUCCCGA